UUAGGCGAUCGGACAACUGCUAUAUUUAUGUAGAGGAAAGUCCGAGCACCGAUGAGAAAGGUGCCAGUUAACGGCUGGUCAGGGUAACUUGAAGGAAAGUGCCACAGAAAAUAUACCGCUAUUUUACGAUAGUAAGGGUGAAAAGGCGAGGUAAGAGCUCACCGCUUUGUUGGUAACAGCAAAGGCAUGGUAAACCCCACCUGGUGAAAGGCCAUAUAGAAAGGAAAUGGAUCAUCUCAUAUCCAAGUACUUCGGGUAGGCCGCUUGAGCUUAAUGGUAACAUUAAGCCUAGAUAGAUAGUUGUCAGUGUUUAUCACUACAGAACUCGGCUUAUAGAUCGCCUAAAUUA
rnacentral:RNase_P_RNA from 1 species